GUUGUAUAGUUAAGUAACUAAGCGUACAAGGUGGAUGCCUUGGCAAUCAGAGGCGAAGAAGGACGUGCUAAUCUGCGAAAAGCUUGGAUGAGUCGAUAAGAGGCGUUUAAUCCAAGAUAUCCGAAUGGGGAAACCCAGUAGAUGAAGAAUCUACUAUCAACAAGUGAAUUCAUAGCUUGUUGAGGCAAACCGGGAGAACUGAAACAUCUAAGUACCCCGAGGAAAAGAAAUCAACCGAGAUUUCGUCAGUAGCGGCGAGCGAAAGCGAAAGAGCCAGUAAGUGAUAGCAGUAUAGUGAGGAGAAUGUGUUGGGAAGCACAAUCAAAGAGGGUGAUAAUCCCGUAUCUAAAAACCAUAUUGUGGUACUAAGCUAACGAGAAGUAGGGCGGGACACGUGAUAUCCUGUUUGAAGAAGGGGGGACCAUCCUCCAAGGCUAAAUACUCCUGAUUGACCGAUAGUGAACCAGUACUGUGAAGGAAAGGCGAAAAGAACCCCGGUGAGGGGAGUGAAAUAGAACCUGAAACCUUGUACGUACAAGCAGUGGGAGCCCCAUCACUUAAUCCGAUUGGAAGGUGAUGAAAAGCAACCGCACUUAAACAAUGGUAAGAGGAGCGAAGCGAGUCAAACCACCCAAAAGAAGCAGUGGGAUUAAGUGAUGGGGUGACUGCGUACCUUUUGUAUAAUGGGUCAGCGACUUAUAUUUUGUAGCGAGGUUAACUGAAUAGGGGAGCCGAAGGGAAACCGAGUCUUAACUGGGCGAGUAGUUGCAAGGUAUAGACCCGAAACCCGGUGAUCUAGCCAUGGGCAGGUUGAAGGUUGGGUAACACUAACUGGAGGACCGAACCGACUAAUGUUGAAAAAUUAGCGGAUGACUUGUGGCUGGGGGUGAAAGGCCAAUCAAACCGGGAGAUAGCUGGUUCUCCCCGAAAUCUAUUUAGGUAGAGCCUUGAGGUGACACCUUUGGGGGUAGAGCACUGUUUCGGCUAGGGGGCCAUCCCGGCUUACCAACCCGAUGCAAACUACGAAUACCAAAGAGUGAUACUCAGGAGACACACGGCGGGUGCUAACGUCCGUCGUGGAGAGGGAAACAACCCAGACCGCCAGCUAAGGUCCCCAAGUCUAUAUUAAGUGGGAAACGAAGUGGGAAGGCUUAGACAGCUAGGAUGUUGGCUUAGAAGCAGCCAUCAUUUAAAGAAAGCGUAAUAGCUCACUAGUCGAGUCGGCCUGCGCGGAAGAUGUAACGGGGCUGAAAUAUAGCACCGAAGCUGCGGCAUCAG
rnacentral:rRNA from 1 species